UACGUAGGGGGCAAGCGUUGUCCGGAUUUAUUGGGCGUAAAGAGCGUGUAGGCGGCUUGACAGGUCUGCUGUGAAAACUCGAGGCUCAACCUCGAGAUGUCGGCGGAAACUGUCUGGCUAGAGUCCGGAAGAGGAGAAUGGAAUUCCUGGUGUAGCGGUGAAAUGCGCAGAUAUCAGGAAGAACACCCGUGGCGAAGGCGGUUCUCUGGGACGGUACUGACGCUGAGACGCGAAAGCGUGGGGAGCGAACAGG
rnacentral:rRNA from 1 species